GUGCUCGCUUUGGCAGCACAUAUACUAAAAUUGGAAUUAUACAGAGAUUAGUAUGGCCCCUGUGCAAGGAUGACAUGCAAAUUCGUAAAGUGUUCCAUUAUAAA